GACGAACGCUGGCGGCGUGCUUAACACAUGCAAGUCGAACGCAGAAGCCCGAGCUUGCUCGGGUGGAUGAGUGGCGAACGGGUGAGUAACACGUGAGCAACCUGCCCCGGACUCUGGGAUAAGCGCUGGAAACGGCGUCUAAUACUGGAUACGACCCAUACCGGCAUCGGUAGUGGGUGGAAAGACUUUGUCGGUCUGGGAUGGGCUCGCGGCCUAUCAGCUGGAUGGUGGGGUAAUGGCCUACCAUGGCGACGACGGGUAGCCGGCCUGAGAGGGUGACCGGCCACACUGGGACUGAGACACGGCCCAGACUCCUACGGGAGGCAGCAGUGGGGAAUAUUGCACAAUGGGCGCAAGCCUGAUGCAGCAACGCCGCGUGAGGGAUGACGGCCUUCGGGUUGUAAACCUCUUUUAGUAGGGAAGAAGCCUUUCGGGGUGACGGUACCUGCAGAAAAAGCACCGGCUAACUACGUG
rnacentral:rRNA from 1 species